rnacentral:rRNA from 1 species
AUUGAACGCUGGCGGCAUGCUUUACACAUGCAAGUCGAACGGCAGCGCGGGGCAACCUGGCGGCGAGUGGCGCACGGGUGAGUAAUAUAUCGGAACGUACCCAGAAGUGGGGGAUAACGUAGCGAAAGUUACGCUAAUACCGCAUACGAUCUACGGAUGAAAGUAGGGGACCGCAAGGCCUUAUGCUCUUGGAGCGGCCGAUAUCUGAUUAGCUAGUUGGUGAGGUAAAGGCUCACCAAGGCGACGAUCAGUAGCUGGUCUGAGAGGACGACCAGCCACACUGGAACUGAGACACGGUCCAGACUCCUACGGGAGGCAGCAGUGGGGAAUUUUGGACAAUGGGCGCAAGCCUGAUCCAGCAAUGCCGCGUGAGUGAAGAAGGCCUUCGGGUUGUAAAGCUCUUUUGUCAGGGAAGAAACGGUAGAGGCUAAUAUCCUUUGCUAAUGACGGUACCUGAAGAAUAAGCACCGGCUAACUACGUG